UAGGGAGCAAGCGUUGUCCGGAUUUACUGGGUGUAAAGGGUGCGUAGGCGGGUCGUCAAGUCAGGAGUGAAAUACAUGGGCUUAACCCAUGAACUGCUUUUGAAACUGACGAUCUUGAGUGAAGUAGAGGUAGGCGGAAUUCCCGGUGUAGCGGUGAAAUGCGUAGAGAUCGGGAGGAACACCAGUGGCGAAGGCGGCCUACUGGGCUUUAACUGACGCUGAGGCACGAAAGCGUGGGUAGCAAA
rnacentral:rRNA from 1 species